rnacentral:rRNA from 1 species
CUGCAGCCCGAGUGGUGAUCGAUUUUAUUGAGCCUAAAGCGUCCGUAGCCGGUCUAGUAAACUCUUGGGUAAAUUGGGCAGCUUAACUGUCCAAAUUCCGAGAGGACUGCUAGACUUGGGACCGGGAGAGGUCAGAGGUACUCCAGGGGUAGGGGCUAAAUCCUGUAAUCCUUGGGGGACCACCAGUGGCGAAGGCGUCUGACUAGAACGGAUCCGACGGUAAGGGACGAAACCCUGGGGCGCAAACCGGAUUAGAUACCCGAGUAGUCC